GAUACCGGACGGACGGUCGCUGGCAUUGCCAGAGGAAAGUCCGAGCUGCACAGAGCGCGGGUGCCCGGCGAAAGUCGGGGAAACGCAUGUCGGUGUGCGUUGACAGUCCAGACAGGCGCGUUGGCUCAGGCCGGCGCGAGAGCAACAGAAACAAGACCGCGGGCGCUAGUCGUUCGCGGGUGAAAAGGGCAAUCCUCCCCGCAGCAAUCUCCGACUGGGCCGUUACCAGGUUGCUCGCCGAGGCCCGAGGUGAGAGCAGACGCGAUUCGCGUCCAGCCAUUACGGCUGAGAUAGAUGGCCGUCAGAAACAGAACUCGGCUUACAGUCCGGUAUUGUCA
rnacentral:RNase_P_RNA from 1 species